GAUUAAGUUAUUAAGGGCGCACGGUGGAUGCCUUGGCACUAGAAGCCGAUGAAGGACGUUACUAACGACGAUAUGCUUUGGGGAGCUGUAAGUAAGCUUUGAUCCAGAGAUUUCCGAAUGGGGAAACCCAGCAUGAGUUAUGUCAUGUUAUCGAUAUGUGAAUACAUAGCAUAUCAGAAGGCACACCCGGAGAACUGAAACAUCUUAGUACCCGGAGGAAGAGAAAGAAAAUUCGAUUCCCUUAGUAGCGGCGAGCGAAAUGGGAAGAGCCCAAACCAACAAGCUUGCUUGUUGGGGUUGUAGGACACUCUAUACGGAGUUACAAAGGACGACAUUAGACGAAUCAUCUGGAAAGAUGAAUCAAAGAAGG
rnacentral:rRNA from 1 species